rnacentral:rRNA from 1 species
UGGGGAAUCUUGCGCAAUGGGGGAAACCUUGACGCAGCAACGCCGCGUGGGUGAUGAAGGCCUUCGGGUCGUAAAGCCCUGUCAGGUGGGAAGAAAGAUGUCGGUGCUAAUAUCACCGAUGUUUGACGGUACCGCCGGAGGAAGCACCGGCUAACUCCGUGCCAGCAGCCGCGGUAAUACGGAGGGUGCAAGCGUUGUUCGGAAUUACUGGGCGUAAAGCGCGUGUAGGCGGUCGGGCAAGUCAGAUGUGAAAGCCUUCCGCUUAACGGAAGAAGUGCAUUUGAAACUACCCGGCUGGAGUACGGGAGAGGAGAGUGGAAUUCCCGGUGUAGAGGUGAAAUUCGUAGAUAUCGGGAGGAACACCAGUGGCGAAGGCGGCUCUCUGGUCCGAUACUGACGCUGAGACGCGAAAGCGUGGGGAGCAAACAGGAUUAGAUACCCUGGUAGUCCACGCCGUAAACGAUGGGCACUAGGUGUAGGAGGUAUUGACCCCUUCUGUGCCGAAGUUAACGCAUUAAGUGCCCCGCCUGGGGAGUACGGCCGCAAGGUUA